CAUGGCCACGAGAGGGCGGCAGAGGGUCCAGGCGGAAGGUGAGGCGCGGGCACCUCACCUCGUACUCCAGGUAUUCCUUCCGCAAGCGGUAGUCCUCCAGCUCUCGGCCGCGGCCCCGCCGCUCCGGUAAGUUUCUCUGCAGAUCCAGCAGGUCGUCGGAGGCAGCAUCCAGGCAGCUCUCGUGGGAUCGAUGCUGCUCCUCCUGGAAGCGGGAGGCAGUGGGGGAAGCUGCUCCAAGCCCUCCCACUCCGUUCCGGGCCCAGGGCACACGGGCUCAGAAAAGAGGUCUGCAUCAGUUGCUCGUCCCCCCGUGCUGCCCAUCGCGGGUGCAGACUCCCUCCCUACCUUCAGGAAGUAGAGGACCAUCCCUCGCAGGACGGUGUGGAGCAUCUUCCAGCCGCGCUUGCCCCACGGCGCUGCCCCAGGAGCAGAACACAAAGGUGUUCCCUGGCCCACUGCACCCUCUUCUGAGACUGGCCCGCUGCCCCGCCUCCAGCUCCACCCACGCAGACGGGAGCACUGUCCAGGGGCCCAAGUUCUCCAACUCAGGAGGCAGCCCACGCAUCCGCGCAUCCACGCACACAUGCAGCAACGUACGGGGCAUUUGCCGUGUGCCGAGCACUGUGCUGGGAGCUAGAGACACAAGGAUGAUCAAAGCAAUCCUCGUCCUUACUUGAGCUUAGCGAGGCCUGAACUAGUUCCCUUGAAGGGGAAACGAAUCACCCACACACCAUCCUGCCCAGAGGGAUCUGACGCUACAGGAGCAGCUGACUACAGGGGCAGUCAGUGUACGAGAAGGCCCCCACGUGUUACCGGAGCGCACGGUCCAGGCUCUGGCCUCCGAACUGGAAGAAGGACAGGUAAGCGGCCACUUCGGACUUCCGGAAGCCCUCCAGGCGAUAGAGGCGGGAGGCCAAGUUCCAGGCCACCUUGUCGGUCCUGACGCCAUUCGCCAGCUUGUCUCCAGCAGGGGGCCUUUGGCCUUCCUCUGGGGGCUGCGCUUGGGGCACGGGGCUCUCAGGAAGCCUGCGAAAGUCCAUCGGUGACCUCAGACUCCCGCUUGGGAUGGAUACAAAGGGGCUCUGGGUCAAGCGUCCUUGGGGUCAGUCGUAGGGGCAGGUGUGCCUAGAGUCCAUGCCCAGAGCUCAGGGCAGGAGCUGGAGCUCCAGGGCCUCAUGUGGCCGGGGAAGAGCCAGACCAGGGCCUCCCCCGGGGAAGAGGCAGGGUCACAGCCUGCCUGGCCUGACCUGGGCACCAGGAGGACCCAGAGAGGACAGUAUUCACACAAAGCUAGCAAGGGCCGGAGCCGAGCUUGGUACCAGCAUUUCCUCAGGUGGCAGGUGCAGCCCUUUGAAGACCCCAGUGGUGUUUAGUCCGUCCCAAGGAGGGGUGGGAAUACCUCCCCAGAUGUCAGCAGCCACCUGUGUCCCUCACCUGUCCUGCCCUCCCCAUCAUGCCUCCUUGCCCCCCUUCCCCUCCCCCAGCUCCAGCCUCCAGCCUCCACUCCUAGAUCUGGAGCCAAGGAAGGUGCAAGGGUGAAGCAAGAAUGGAAAGCGAGACCGGCUUUAGGAAUGGUGACAGCUGGGAUUGCCACAGGUGGUUUCCAACCCCUGCCUUCCCGUAUCGGCAGCCCUGUGGUAGAGAAGGGGGCCUUCCAGCAGGGGCUUUGGAUGGUGCCCUACAGAGGGUGCACAGGCCCCAGCAACCCUCACGGUAGACUCAGAGGACACUCAGAAUCUCAGAAGUCACCCGGCCCAAUCUCUCCCUGACUCUUGCGUUUUCCCUGCAACAUUGCAACCAGGUAUUGGGGUAUCCUCGUUAGUGGAAUGGUCAUCAUCCAGGUUACUGCAGUCAGGGAGUUGUACAGAUAAGCAAAACUUAUCACAGUAUGAAAAUGUUCACCGACAGACUACCCACUUAUAAAAUCCAGCUGCACUUGACAGCCCUUUCCACUUAACACAAAUGUACGUCUCUGCCCCCAACUGGGUCAGCGUCUUUGCUGGUAACUUCUCACUGCUUCCUGAGGCUCAUUCACAUCCAACAAGGCAGGGCAAACAUAAUGGAAGCCAAUUGAAAAGUGAAAUUACAAAUCUUGCCAAAAAGGAUUUUAUGAAGGCCAUGAAAGUGAGGCUGGAAGAUUCCAGGGAUCACCUGGGAAGCCACUGACAAGUGAGGAACGGGAAGAGUUAGUCCAGUGAACAACUGAAGAGGAGAAAAUAAUGACACGCUUGUCACAUCUAAAGAGAACUACUUAGAUUAUCAGCUGACAAAGCCCUCAAAUACUUUUACAAAAAUGACCUAGUCAGUGAGUGUUGUUACUAAAAUAAUAUCUAGAUGGGAAGGCACUUUGAGGAAAAAAACCCCACAGGGCAAAUAUAAAUUGUUAUGGAAUUGUAUACUUUAAAUGGAUGGAUUGUAUAGUAUGUGAAUUAUAUCUUAAU